GACAGAGGGUGCAAACGUUGUUCGGAAUUACUGGGCGUAAAGCGAGUGUAGGCGGUCUGCUAAGUCGGGUGUGAAAGCCCCGGGCUCAACCCGGGAAGUGCACUCGAAACUGGCAGGCUAGAGUAUCGGAGAGGUUGGUGGAAUUCUCGGUGUAGAGGUGAAAUUCGUAGAUAUCGAGAGGAACACCGGUGGCGAAGGCGGCCAAACUGGACGAAUACUGACGCUGAGACUCGAAAGCGUGGGGAGCAAACAGG
rnacentral:rRNA from 1 species